GUGGGGAAUAUUGGACAAUGGGCGAAAGCCUGAUCCAGCCAUGCCGCGUGUGUGAAGAAGGUCUUCGGAUUGUAAAGCACUUUAAGUUGGGAGGAAGGGCAGUAAGUUAAUACCUUGCUGUUUUGACGUUACCGACAGAAUAAGCACCGGCUAACUUCGUGCCAGCAGCCGCGGUAAUACGAAGGGUGCAAGCGUUAAUCGGAAUUACUGGGCGUAAAGCGCGCGUAGGUGGUUUUGUAAGUUGGAGGUGAAAUCCCCGGGCUCCACCUGGGAACUGCCUCCAAAACUGCAUGACUAGAGUACGGUAGAGGGUAGUGGAAUUUCCUGUGUAACGGUGAAAUGCGUAGAUAUAGGAAGGAACACCAGUGGCGAAGGCGACUACCUGGACUGAUACUGACACUGAGGUGCGAAAGCGUGGGGAGCAAACAGGAUUAGAUACCCGAGUAGUCC
rnacentral:rRNA from 1 species